GGGGACUCCCGAAUUGUCCUUCAGGGCGCUGGAAAGAAAUGCACUCACACGGAUCCAGGACGUGGGCACAAAGCCCCAGCCUUCCUGCGUGUCCAUGAAACCAAUCGGAUGCAGCUCAGGGGAGAGCAGCUGUGCACUGAAAAUGCCAUGCAAGAGGAGAUGGGAGAGGACGACAGAGCAGAGCGAACUUGGAUAUGUUUGAAUACUAAAGUAUGGAGACGUAAUUGUCUGAGAGUAUUUGAUUGAAGAUGGAAGAAAAUUUGAGGUCAUCUGGGUGGACAGAGGACAAGUAAGAACAGAAAAGGAAGAGGAGAGCAAGAGAUGAAUCUUGAGCAUGGGCCGAUCUCACACAGCCCGCUGACCCGGACGUCCCCGGA